rnacentral:rRNA from 1 species
UAGGGAAUCUUCGGCAAUGGGGGCAACCCUGACCGAGCAACGCCGCGUGAGUGAAGAAGGUUUUCGGAUCGUAAAGCUCUGUUGUAAGAGAAGAACGUGUGUGAGAGUGGAAAGUUCACACAGUGACGGUAACUUACCAGAAAGGGACGGCUAACUACGUGCCAGCAGCCGCGGUAAUACGUAGGUCCCGAGCGUUGUCCGGAUUUAUUGGGCGUAAAGCGAGCGCAGGCGGUUUAAUAAGUCUGAAGUUAAAGGCAGUGGCUUAACCAUUGUUCGCUUUGGAAACUGUUAAACUUGAGUGCAGAAGGGGAGAGUGGAAUUCCAUGUGUAGCGGUGAAAUGCGUAGAUAUAUGGAGGAACACCGGUGGCGAAAACGGCUCUCUGGUCUGUAACUGACGCUGAGGCUCGAAAGCGUGGGGAGCAAACAGG